UAAUCGUUUUAAUCGAUGGGGGGACGCAGUAGGAUAGGCGAAGCGUGCGAUUGGAUUGCACGUCUAAGCAGUAAGGCUGAGUAUUAGGCAAAUCCGGUACUCGUUAAGGCUGAGCUGUGAUGGGGAGAAGACAUUGUGUCGUCGAGUCGUUGAUUUCACACUGCCGAGAAAAGCCUCUAGAUAGAAAAUAGGUGCCCGUACCGCAAACCGACACAGGUAGUCAAGAUGAGAAUUCUAAGGUGAGCGAGCGAACUCUCGUUAAGGAACUCGGCAAAAUGACCCCGUAACUUCGGGAGAAGGGGGGCUCUUUAGGGUUAACGCCCAGAAGAGCCGCAGUGAAUAGGCCCAAGCGACUGUUUAUCAAAAACACAGGUCUCUGCUAAACCGUAAGGUGAUGUAUAGGGGCUGACGCCUGCCCGGUGCUGGAAGGUUAAGAGGAGUGGUUAGCUUCUGCGAAGCUACGAAUCGAAGCCCCAGUAAACGGCGGCCGUAACUAUAACGGUCCUAAGGUAGCGAAAUUCCUUGUCGGGUAAGUUCCGACCCGCACGAAAGGCGUAACGAUUUGGGCACUGUCUCAACGAGAGACUCGGUGAAAUCAUAGUACCUGUGAAGAUGCAGGUUACCCGCGACAGGACGGAAAGACCCCGUGGAGCUUUACUGUAGCCUGAUAUUGAAAUUCGGCACAGCUUGUACAGGAUAGGUAGGAGCCUUUGAAACGUGAGCGCUAGCUUACGUGGAGGCGCUGGUGGGAUACUACCCUAGCUGUGUUGGCUUUCUAACCCGCACCACUUAUCGUGGUGGGAGACAGUGUCAGGCGGGCAGUUUGACUGGGGCGGUCGCCUCCUAAAAGGUAACGGAGGCGCUCAAAGGUUCCCUCAGAAUGGUUGGAAAUCAUUCAUAGAGUGUAAAGGCAUAAGGGAGCUUGACUGCGAGACCUACAAGUCGAGCAGGGUCGAAAGACGGACUUAGUGAUCCGGUGGUUCCGCAUGGAAGGGCCAUCGCUCAACGGAUAAAAGCUACCCCGGGGAUAACAGGCUUAUCUCCCCCAAGAGUUCACAUCGACGGGGAGGUUUGGCACCUCGAUGUCGGCUCAUCGCAUCCUGGGGCUGUAGUCGGUCCCAGGGUGGGCUGUUCGCCCAUUAAAGCGGUACGCGAGCUGGGUUCAGAACGUCGUGAGACAGUUCGGUCCCUAUCCGUCGUGGGCGUAGGAAAUUUGAGAGGAGCUGUCCUUAGUACGAGAGGACCGGGAUGGACAUACCUCUGGUGUACCAGUUGUCGUGCCAACGGCAUAGCUGGGUAGCUAUGUGUGGACGGGAUAAGUGCUGAAAGCAUCUAAGCAUGAAGCCCCCCUCAAGAUGAGAUUUCCCAACUUCGGUUAUAAGAUCCCUCAAAGAUGAUGAGGUUAAUAGGUUCGAGGUGGAAGCAUGGUGACAUGUGGAGCUGACGAAUACUAAUCGAUCGAAGACUUAAUC
rnacentral:rRNA from 1 species